UUAUUUACGCGACGACGGUACCUAUACAUCCAAUAAGUUAUUAAAGACGGUACGUUUUUAACGUUCAAUUAUCGUGUUAAAAUUACAUUAAAUCGGAAUUAACUUAACGCGGUGUAAUUCAAAAUCAACUCGUUAAUAUUGUAUUAUUAAGUUAUUAAGGUAAUGUAAAAUAAAUAAAUAAAUAAAUAAAUAAUAAAUGAAGUUAAAAGUUAAACUAAUAAAAAAAUCAAACGUGUUUUUGAACCAUAGUUAAUGCCCUCGAGUGGAAUGCGUGUUCGCCAACUCCCGGAGUCGGAACAUAUAAAAUUGGAUUCCGGUAAAAAAAAAAAAAAAAUUUUAAAAACCGUCUUUGAGAAUAAAAUAAAUACUAACUACUAAUUCACGGUAAAAAUAAAAUGCAAAUAAUCUCGUACCCCGCUCCGAUACGAGAAAGAAAAAAAAAUAAAUAAAUACCGACUCCGACCAAACAGAACCUACGCGUAUUUCACUAGCCGUGUUUUGUCGCGUUCAAUGUUACAAUGUUAUUGCGCGUUCGGAUUCACUGGGCGAUCCGGCAUUUGCGCGG